rnacentral:rRNA from 1 species
GAUGAACGCUGGCGGCGUGCCUAAUACAUGCAAGUCGAGCGAACAGACGAGGAGCUUGCUCCUCUGACGUUAGCGGCGGACGGGUGAGUAACACGUGGAUAACCUACCUAUAAGACUGGGAUAACUUCGGGAAACCGGAGCUAAUACCGGAUAAUAUAUUGAACCGCAUGGUUCAAUAGUGAAAGACGGUUUUGCUGUCACUUAUAGAUGGAUCCGCGCCGCAUUAGCUAGUUGGUAAGGUAACGGCUUACCAAGGCGACGAUGCGUAGCCGACCUGAGAGGGGGAUAGGACACACUGGAACUGAGACACGGUCCAGACUCCUACGGGAGGCAGCAGUAGGGAAUCUUCCGCAAUGGGCGAAAGCCUGACGGAGCAACGCCGCGUGAGUGAUGAAGGUCUUCGGAUCGUAAAACUCUGUUAUUAGGGAAGAACAAAUGUGUAAGUAACUAUGCACGUCUUGACGGUACCUAAUCAGAAAGCCACGGCUAACUACGUG